UGGCUUAUGAUGAUAAGCAAUUAUCUUAGCGGAUUUCAGUGAGAUUAUUUCAAAUAAUCAAGGAUCUGUUUGUUACACACACUGAAGCCU